GAUGAACGCUGGCGGCGUGCCUAAUACAUGCAAGUCGAGCGAACGGACGAGAAGCUUGCUCCUCUGAUGUUAGCGGCGGACGGGUGAGUAACACGUGGAUAACCUACCUAUAAGACUGGGAUAACUUCGGGAAACCGGAGCUAAUACCGGAUAAUAUUUUGAACCGCAUGGUUCAAUAGUGAAAGACGGUCUUGCUGUCACUUAUAGAUGGAUCCGCGCUGCAUUAGCUAGUUGGUAAGGUAACGGCUUACCAAGGCAACGAUGCAUAGCCGACCUGAGAGGGUGAUCGGCCACACUGGAACUGAGACACGGUCCAGACUCCUACGGGAGGCAGCAGUAGGGAAUCUUCCGCAAUGGGCGAAAGCCUGACGGAGCAACGCCGCGUGAGUGAUGAAGGUCUUCGGAUCGUAAAACUCUGUUAUUAGGGAAGAACAAAUGUGUAAGUAACUGUGCACGUCUUGACGGUACCUAAUCAGAAAGCCACGGCUAACUACGUG
rnacentral:rRNA from 1 species